rnacentral:lncRNA from 1 species
ACAGAAUAACUCUAUAAGAUUGGCAGCAUCAUUUCCACCCAUUUUACAGGUGAGGAAAUUGAGGCUUACAGAUGAUGAGUCAUUUCACAAGCAAAUAUGGAGCAGAGCCUAAAAUCUAACCUAGGCAGUUCAAAACCUGCAGUCUUACUACUACCUUGCCUUACUGUGCCAGCCCUUUAACCUACAGGUAAACCAGAGAACUAAGCUAGAAUUACAAUAAAGUAUUUUGAGAGGGGAAGUGAGGCAGGAUAGUUAGUCAAGGAAGUGACCAUGUUCUCGGGAUGCAGCAUUGGUGGUGACCUCACAGCCAACACAAUAAGCCUUGGCAUUCACAUCAUAAAUGAGCUCAUUUAAGCAAAGCUAUCUUCAGGAGGGACUGUCCCUUCUCUAGGGCAUGUGCAUUUUGAUUUUAAUUGUCAUCAAACUGACCCUUUGCUCAUUUAUAGUAAAAAACACACCCCUGGGUGGAGAUUUAAGAUGCUAAUGAGACAUGUGAUAUAUGAACACAAACAUACAGCUACAGUGCAUGUGCACCCAGAGGACCACCCAGAACAUGCUUACUAGCAACACCUCUUCCCAACUCCUUAUGAAUUAUCAUGUAAGACUCCCACAAAGGGGGUUUCUCUAGCAAUAAUCAACACUGCCUCACCCUUGCAAGCAGCCCACCCUGAACUCUCUCUCUCAGGGUAUACUGUCUAUUCUGCAUCUAACUUUCAAAAUACUCUUUUCCUUUUGCAGUGAAUGACUCUCUGCCGCAUCUCCUUUGCUGUGUGUCUUUUGUUUAAAUUCUUUUAAACUAAGAAGACAAGAACCGAGGUAUCACAACAGCCAUUAACAGAAGUAUUGGGUGUUGCAAUUGGAAUCCUAAUAACCAACAGUGAGAGUUGGCCUACGCCCUUCACAGAGGGCAGUGGAUACAGAAGUUAGCCUGGUGAAGCAAGGGGGGCACAAUGAAGGAAAAGUGUCCUCAGCCCAGGGAUCUCCUGUUUCAGGGCUGGAUACGAGAAAGGAGGCCAGUGUGGUACACUGAAGAGACUUAAAUAACUAAGUAAAGCAAGUAUGUGGGGUUGGAGGCGGAGGAAUGUCAGGAAUGAGAUGGAGGCAGGGGCCGCAUAGUGAGUAGUGCUUUAAAAUUCAUGUUAGGGAGUUUGGUUUUUAUCCAAAGGGCAAUGAGAAGAAAAACAAAAACAAAAACAAAGAUUUUAAGCAGGCGCCACAGGAUCAGGCUUGCAUUUGAAAAUGCUCUCCAGCUCUUGCCCUGUCAAGAAUGGAUUAGAGGGAAACAAUACUGGGUGCAAGGAGAAUGUCAAGAAAACAGCAAAGUUCGUCUUAUUGAGGCAUCCAGUAAAGCUCCACAGAGAAAUCAUUCCCUCGUGUCUCUUCUGCACUCGGCCUUGGCAGGAUAAGAUGAAGAGGACGCAGUCCCUACCUCAGGCCUCCUCUCUUAGACCCUGGCCCAGCCUCCUCCACCAGGCUGUCCUCCAUCCUUCUCCUCAGGCCCCACCAGCUGCUGCUUGCUACAGCAUUCUCUUCAGGGAAGUCCUGAGGAUGCUGCCAGAAGAUACUGAACACCAAGGAGGGGACUCACUCACUGCCAACCACGACUUCCACAGAAAGCUUGGGAAUUGGGGAAUGGCAUGAUCAAAGCCUUGCUUUAUUAUGCAGAGCAAAUUUUUUUUUUUUGAGGGAGCAUUUGUGUGGAGAAUAGUGAGGAAGGGAACUAAGUGAUGAGAGCCUAAGUCAGAGCAAUGGCAGAAGAAAUUGAACAUAAUAGAACGGUUUAUGUUUGGUACCACACUUUGAAGGGUAAUGUAUGUUAUUUGUUCUUUAUCAUAGUCAACAACAAAUCUAGAUUUGCUUUAUGCACAGGAAGUAUUUAAUAUUAGUUAGGUUUAAUUUGAUUCAAUGCAUUUUAAGUUAACCAAUGAGCCCUAUUGAACUCAUAAGGAAACUAAAGCCGAGUAAGGUUAACUGACUUGCCCACAGUUAAAGGGUUGGAAAGUUUUGGAGCCAAGGGUGAAACCCAGGUCUCCUUAAUUCAAAAUCCAAGGCUUCAAUCAUGACACCAGUUGCCACAAAUCUGUGGCAUAUAUGGUGAUUCUAUUUCUUUGCCACCACAGACAUUGCUAAUCGAUUUCCUACGCAAGCUUGGAUAUGGCCUCAGAAUCCUUCCAAACACAGGGCUCCAGAGACCCACCUCAAAUCAACUUUUCUGUAUCCUGGCAGGAUAGCAUGCUCUCUCUCCAAGAUAAAGGAAGGAAAAUGGUAGAGGUGAUUUGCGGGCAGAAGCAUUAUCACUUGGCAGCUGUGGGCGUAGAUUGUGAGAAAGAGAAAAGGGUAGGCAUCAGGAAUGAUGAAGGAUGUAAGCCUGGGGGAUGAGGGGGAUGGUGACACUAAUUAACAGAAUAAUGGAACUGGAACAGAAGCAGAGCUGUAACAUGGUGAAUGUGGUCUUGAGGUGUUGUCCAGUUCUUAAGGCGGUGGGGGGUGCUGUGACAAUGACAGGUGAAGGCUGCUGCUUAUGGAAAGACACAGGCAGGGCCUCCUAACACUUCUAGCAAUUUCAGCCCCCGAAACAGUGACAACUGUGGAUCCUAAAGGCAUAUGUCCAAAAGAUGCUGGCCAAACAUUUCAGAAAAGAUGAAAUAAGGAGGUCUCAAAGUCCUGCUUUUCAAGACACUGCUAGGAAUCUUUUUGCAAAGCAAGAAAAUUCUUUUAUCAUUCAAACAAUUAAAUAAUAAUUAAAAUAAUUAAAUAUAAAUAAUUAAAAUUAAAAUUUUCAUACACCAGGUUUCAUUUCAGUGGGAAGAAUGGGGCAGGGAAAGAAAAUGGCUCUUCAGCAGCCUUCUCAGUGACAAUUAUAAACAAUUUCUGUAAAACUUCACACCCUAAAUGAAGCACCAAACCUGAAGUGCUUAAUCAAAACAAGAUGUUUUGAUUGAAAGAAAGCUUUGAUGAGUUGCUUCUAUCAAUUGCCCUUCAGCAUAAGAUUAGAAAUGCAAAGGCUUCUAUCAUCCCCAUGAUGUUCUUUAAACUUCAUUAUGUCAGGCACACAUGGCAAAUUAAACAGAAUGCUACAGAAAGUGUCUGGCCAUAAGAGGAGGCAGAGGCACUGCUUACAGAAACCUUGCUAGACAACUAAUUGAACAGUUUUCUAACCUCAGAACAGACGUGCUUUCUAUUAUUUAGCAUUUAAUAUGCUUCCUCUCUCUCUCUCAUUUCUUUUUACCUUUAGCUUGUUUCUUCCUAUUUCAUUGCCAUCUACUUUAUAAAUGUCUUGAUCAAAUUAUAAAGUUAUAACAUUAUACAGAUUCUAUUUGGUCCCAUAUGGCUAAUGUCAACCAGAGAGCCUUUAAUAUUUUCUAAGGAACAGGAUAUCAUAUUUAAUGCCCUCAAAACUAAUUUCAAGCUAAAAAAUGUUGAAGGCUAUACAUACACACACACACACACACGAAUGUUCUACAACAAGACUAUCCACCCCCUCCAAAGUCAAGCUUUGAUAUAUGCCCUAACAAAAUAAAAAAAAAAUUCAAAUAUGCUUUACAACAAACUACUAAAAACCACAGACCAACAUAAUUUCUUUAGAAGCAUAAAGUCACUUGUGAUCCAUAUGCCAAAAGCAUAACAAAAUGCAAAAAAAGCCCUUAAGUUCAUUGAUUGACCUAACAAUAUCAAUUUUUCUCUACACUUCAGUGAAUUAUAUACAUGAAAGAAUAUUUCGAUCUUAGGAAUUCUUCAUCUGGUUAGUUUUGUUUCCAGUGAAGCAAACAUCAAACAGGGUCUUAUAUGUUUAUGGAUAGGUACAAAUCCAUGGAAAAGAUUCCAAUUACUUUUUUUUUUUUAAAGUUUAAAGCUGUGUGUUAUGUGCAGAGGGGGUAGUACAAAGAGCUAUGGAUAUUCUAAACCAAAUAUUAAAACAGCAUUUCAAGCAGCUCAAAGUAUCAUACAACAUUUUCAGUAGUAAGGAAAUUUCACUCAGCAGCAAUAUUUUUAAUAGAAAAACUUUUUUGUUUUUGAGACAG